rnacentral:rRNA from 1 species
AACCUGCCCAAGAGAUCGGGAUAACACCUGGAAACAGAUGCUAAUACCGGAUAACAAUAGAUGAUGCCUAUCAACUGUUUAAAAGAUGGUUCUGCUAUCACUCUUGGAUGGACCUGCGGUGCAUUAGCUAGUUGGUAGGGUAACGGCCUACCAAGGCGAUGAUGCAUAGCCGAGUUGAGAGACUGAUCGGCCACAUUGGGACUGAGACACGGCCCAAACUCCUACGGGAGGCAGCAGGA